UACGGAGGGUGCGAGCGUUGUCCGGAAUCAUUGGGCGUAAAGGGCGCGUAGGUGGCCCGGUCAGUUCGUGGUGAAAGCGCGGGCUCAACCCUGCGUCGGCCAUGAAUACUGCCGCGGCUGGAGCACUGUAGAGGCAAGGCGGAAUUCCGGGUGUAGCGGUGGAAUGCGUAGAGAUCCGGAAGAACACCGGUGGCGAAGGCGGCCUGC
rnacentral:rRNA from 1 species